rfam:Schistosoma mattheei strain Denwood, Zambia genome assembly, scaffold: SMTD_contig0001437
AUCCAGCUGAAGGGUCCCAAAUAGGUCGAAAUGCACGUUCUGGAU